AAGGCUAUACUUUCAGAGAUCAUUUCUGUAGUCACUAGAGAAGAUUUUCUGAACGUGCAGAGCAUCAGAAGCUCCGAGGAGGAAAAGACAGCCAGGUCUCUCCUGAGGGGGAGGAUGGUUCUCAGAGUUGCUGUGCAGCAGCCAUUUGCCCUUGAGGCUCAUUCUCCUUUUCUCUGGGAGAGUGAGAGAAAGAGAUUACACUCUGAGUGAU
rnacentral:snoRNA from 1 species